ACUCCUACGGGAGGCAGCAGUGGGAAUAUUGCACAAUGGGCGGAAGCCUGACGCAGCGACGCCGCGUGGGGGAUGACGGCCUUCGGGUUGUAAAACCUCUUUCGCCAUCGACGAAGCCUUUUAGGUGACGGUAGGUGGAGAAGAAGCACCGGCCAACUACGUGCCAGCAGCCGCGGUAACACGUAGGGUGCGAGCGUUGUCCGGAAUUAUUGGGCGUAAAGAGCUCGUAGGCGGUGUGUCGCGUCGGCCGUGAAAACUUGGGGCUUAACUCUGAGCGUGCGGUCGAUACGGGCAUCACUUGAGUUCGGCAGGGGAGACUGGAAUUCCUGGUGUAGCGGUGAAAUGCGCAGAUAUCAGGAGGAACACCGGUGGCGAAGGCGGGUCUCUGGGCCGAUACUGACGCUGAGGAGCGAAAGCGUGGGGAGCGAACAGGAUUAGAUACCCUGAUAGGCUCUGC
rnacentral:rRNA from 1 species